rnacentral:rRNA from 1 species
CCUACGGGAGGCAGCAGUGAGGAAUAUUGGUCAAUGGGCGCAAGCCUGAACCAGCCAAGUCGCGUGAGGGAUGACGGUCCUAUGGAUUGUAAACCUCUUUUGUCGGGGAGCAAGGCCCGCCACGUGUGGCGGGAAGGAGAGUACCCGAAGAAAAAGCAUCGGCUAACUCCGUGCCAGCAGCCGCGGUAAUACGGAGGAUGCGAGCGUUAUCCGGAUUUAUUGGGUUUAAAGGGUGCGUAGGCGGACGGUUAAGUCAGCGGUAAAAUGUCGGUGCUCAACACCGGCCUGCCGUUGAAACUGGUCUUCUUGAGUGAGCGAGAAGUGUGCGGAAUGCGUGGUGUAGCGGUGAAAUGCAUAGAUAUCACGCAGAACUCCGAUUGCGAAGGCAGCAUACCGGCGCUCAACUGACGCUGAGGCACGAAAGCGUGGGGAUCGAACAGGAUUAGAUACCCUAGUAGUC